AUUGAACGCUGGCGGCAUGCUUUACACAUGCAAGUCGAACGGCAGCGCGGGGGCAACCCUGGCGGCGAGUGGCGAACGGGUGAGUAAUGCAUCGGAACGUAUCCUGUAAUGGGGGAUAACGUAGCGAAAGUUACGCUAAUACCGCAUACGCUCGAGAGAGGAAAGUGGGGGAUCGCAAGACCUCACGUUAUAGGAGCGGCCGAUGUCCGAUUAGCUAGUUGGUGGGGUAAAGGCCUACCAAGGCGACGAUCGGUAGCUGGUCUGAGAGGAUGAUCAGCCACACUGGGACUGAGACACGGCCCAGACUCCUACGGGAGGCAGCAGUGGGGAAUAUUGCACAAUGGGCGAAAGCCUGAUGCAGCAACGCCGCGUGAGGGAUGACGGCCUCGGUGUAACGUACUCUACGUAGGUAGAAGACGAAGAGACGGUACGUACACGAAGAAGACACGACAACUACGUACGCCACGCGACGCCGACGGUACGUAACGUACUACGUGUACG
rnacentral:rRNA from 1 species